AAACAUGAGAACGUCUCAGCGCCUGUCUCAGACGAAUCAUCGACGACGGGUGGCACUUUCCUACGAGCUGGACGGGGGUCCGGAGACCCCACUAGAAUUGACCCAGCUGCAGAGGGUGCGGGUCCUACCAGGUCGUACCUGCAGAGGCAGGUGGUGAUCUCUCGCCCUACGCGGCCCUGGGGACACUGAGCGAGAGGGCCUUUUACAAAGCGUUUUCACUUAUGGGUGAGGGCGGCUGUUUAUCCCUGUCAGUCCCUAUUUAUCCCCGUUUUACAGCUGUGGUAAUGCUUCACCACUCCCCCAACACACACAACAUACGUCCCCGUUUCCUGUGUGCACAGUCCUGGGUGAUUCAAGAUGAAUUACCACUGACGCUUAUUCAUUCAACAACCAAUAGUUGGAGCAUCUACUUUGGGCCAAGCACUGGGCGAGAUGUGUGCUGUGGUGCCAGAAAAAAGGAGAAACACUCCCUCCUCUUAAGGAGUGCAGGCCAGCAGAGGGUGCAUAUUCUAACAUGCUGUUGUGAACAACCUAAAAAACUCCAACGCCCUGUGCUGAAACCUGGAAUUCUGCAACCCUGCAUAGUAUGUCUCACUCCCUAUUUAACAGAUGAAAGAUCCAAAAUUCAGUGGAAGGUAGGUGAAGCUAUAAAUCCCCCCACAGGAAGGGCAGCCUGUGGUGAGGCAAGGGAAGGACAGGAUGACAGGAGGGGCUCUCCUGACAGCCAGUUGCUAGCUAGGCUGGGCCAUGGAGAUUCCUUCUGUCCCUUUGAUCUUAGGAACAGGAGUCUGGGAAAGUUGAUGUGGAGGCUCAGGCCAGCACUGUUAGCCUGCACACACCUCUAGCUUCCAAUCCAUUCCCUGGACCAGCCCAGGAGUACCACAGAGCUGCAUCAGGGACCCGCUAGGUGGGGCAAAAGCCCAACCCAGGAGAGGGCUUUGGGCCCCCAUCUCUGGUGACCAGAGCAGCUCUAAUUUUACAUAUUUUAUAUAGCCUGUGAACUAUGAGGGACCCAGGCAAAGUUUCAAUGGAGUAAGACCCUCCUACUCCCAGCAGCAGUUCUUCCACAGCUGCCUCUGGCCUGUGAAUGGAUGAAAUAUUCUCAUAUUUGGGACACUGGGAAGAGUGAGCAGGAGGGAGGGAUCCAGGGGCAGGUGGGCCCUGGAGCCACAGCCUCUGCUCAGAUGUUGGAGGCCUGAGCUCAAUUGCACCAACUGCAGGGGUGGGAAACCAAAUGGAAUUAAUCACAGACUGAGAUCUGUCUCAAAAUCUCACCAUCACCCAUGCAAUUCUAAUUCUACUUCUCCUACAGCUUUGGGCCAUCUGUCAGAGAUGCAAGCCUGGACACUGGGCCCCUGCUGAACUCCCUGGAUAUGAGACAGGACCCCCAUCAGGGAUAAAGGGCCAGGAAGGGCAGUCGCCAGUCACAUGCAAGAAAGGACCAAUUACAAUUGUGAAUGGUCCUGAUACUAGAUAGGGAAAAGACUAAAAUUUGUAGCUAAUGUACUAUUUUUAUUUGAAUAUUUUGUUAUUUUAUCCAUUUGUUCCUAUUAGGCAUUUUUCAUGACUUUAAUAAUACAGUGGAGUUAACAGACUUCAGGAGUAGAGUAGGUAAGUGACAGGUGCUGGGCCAGUUCCUUACCAAACCUCUCCUCUUGAGUCUCCACUUCCUCGCCUGCAGAGUGAGGAUACUUACCUACCUCAUUGGCUUGUUGUCAGGAUUAAAUAAGACAGCAUGUAAAGAGCUUAGCACAGUGCCUAGCACAUAGUAACUGCUCUGUAAAUUUUGUUACCAGAAGCUAUUAUGAUUUAUUGUAAACUAUAAAUGAAUUUGAAAAGAACCAAAAUCCCAUAAAAAAAAAAUCAUUGUCUCAUUAUGACCUGCCUCAAAUUGCAAAAUCUCUAAUAAAAGUAAAGGUAGGUAGUUAGUAACACAAGUUUGUCUAAAACUGGAUCUGUCUAGCUCCCAGUACUCCAUCCACUACACCACAAACUUCAGGGCAGGGUCAGGAGGGAGACAAGUUACUGACUGGGAAGGUGGAUGGAAAGAGGUUUUUUGUGGUGCUGGUAAGUUGUUUCUUGAUUUGGGUGCUGGUUACACAAGUGUGUCCAGUUUGUAAAAAUUCAAUUCAAAAUUCUUGUAAAAAUUGAAUUCAUAGGGCUGGCCAGUUAGCUCAACUGCUUAGAGCACGGUG